rnacentral:rRNA from 1 species
GACGAACGCUGGCGGCGUGCCUAAUACAUGCAAGUAGAACGCUGAAGGAGGAGCUUGCUUCUCUGGAUGAGUUGCGAACGGGUGAGUAACGCGUAGGUAACCUGCCUGGUAGCGGGGGAUAACUAUUGGAAACGAUAGCUAAUACCGCAUAAUAGUAGAUGUUGCAUGACAUUUGCUUAAAAGGUGCAAUUGCAUCACUACCAGAUGGACCUGCGUUGUAUUAGGUAGUUGGUGGGGUAACGGCUCACCAAGGCGACGAUACAUAGCCGGCCUGGGAGGGGGAUCGGCCACACUGGGACUGGGACACGGCCCAGACUCCUACGGGAGGCAGCAGGAGGGAAUCUUCGGCAAUGGACGGAAGUCUGACCGGGCAACGCCGCGUGAGUGAAGAAGGUUUUCGGAUCGUAAAGCUCUGUUGUAAGGGAAGAACGAGUGUGAGAGUGGAAAGUUCACACUGUGACGGUAUCUUACCAGAAAGGGACGGCUAACUACGUG